AAUGAACGUUGGCGGCGUGGAUUAGGCAUGCAAGUCGAGCGAGAACCCCGCAAGGGGGGACAGCGGCGAAAGGGACAGUAAUGUGUAGAUUAUCUGCCCUCAGGUCCGGGAUAGCUGCGGGAAACUGCAGGUAAUACCGGAUAACAUCUCCGGAUCAAAGGUGUGAUUCCGCCUGAGGAUGAGUCUGCAUCCUAUUAGCUAGUUGGUGCGGUAAUGGCCUACCAAGGCAUUGAUGGGUAGCAGGUGUGAGAGCACGACCUGCGUCAUUGGGACUGAGACACUGCCCAGACACCUACGGGUGGCUGCAGUCGAGAAUCUUCGGCAAUGGGCGCAAGCCUGACCGAGCGACGCCGCGUGUGGGAUGAAGGCCUUCGGGUUGUAAACCACUGUCAGAGGGGAUGAAAUGCAGGUGGGUUCUCCCAUCUGUUUGACAUAGCCUCAGAGGAAGGACGGGCUAAGUUCGUG
rnacentral:rRNA from 1 species